CGGGUCGGUGGGGGUAGACCGGCGGAUGUGGCAUCGCUGGUGGCCUGGCUCUUUGAUACCAGUAUAAAAAGGCAUUUGUAGCCAGCGUUUACUCCUGCUUUUCGGCGUUCUGGGAUGUGGGGGUACCAGCUGUCGGGUGCGGUCCGUGCGUAGAGCCGUCAACCUGACCCUGCCCCUGGGCUCGCAGUGUGGCUCUUGAUAAAUAACGUAGGUAAAUGAAUAAACCGGGUAAUCUCAAAGGC
ensembl:lncRNA novel transcript